CCCUUAGAUGUUCUGGGCGGCCCGCGCACUACAAUGGCGCUUUCGGCGAGUUCCUAUGUUGAAUUUUCCUGGGUAUUCUUGGAAGCGGCGUCUUGACUUGGGAUAGAUCCUUGUAAUUGUUGGUUUUGAACGAGGAAUUCCUUGUAAUCGCGGUUGAUCAGCUCGCGUUGAAUACGUCCCUGCCCUUUGUACACACCGCCCGUCGCUCCUACCGAUGAAUCGUCCGGUGAAGUUCACAGAGUGGCGGUUCGUGGAGUUGCUCGCGAAGUGAAAUGGACCUCACGAUUUAGAGGAAGGAGAAGUCGUAACA
rnacentral:rRNA from 1 species